AUACGGAGGAUCCGAGCGUUAUCCGGAUUUAUUGGGUUUAAAGGGUGCGCAGGCGGCCAUUUAAGUCAGCGGUUAAAUCGUGGGGCUCAACCCCAUUCUGCCGUUGAUACUGGGUGGCUUGAUUGCGGUCGAGGUUGGCGGAAUUCGUUGUGUAGCGGUGAAAUGCAUAGAUAUGACGAAGAACACCGAUUGCGUAGGCAGCUGACCAGACCGCAAAUGACGCUCAUGCACGAAAGUGCGGGGAUCGAACAGGAUUAGAUACCCUGGUAGUCCGCACAGUAAACGAUGUAUACUUGUUUUCGGCGAUAUAAUGUCGGAGGCAAAGCGAAAGCGAUAAGUAUUCCACCUGGGGAGUACGCCGGCAACGGUGAAACUCAAAUGAAUUGGCGGGG
rnacentral:rRNA from 1 species